rnacentral:rRNA from 1 species
AUUGAACGCUGGCGGCAGGCCUAACACAUGCAAGUCGAGCGGAUGCAGGGAGCUUGCUCCUGGAUUCAGCGGCGGACGGGUGAGUAAUGCCUAGGAAUCUGCCUGGUAGUGGGGGAUAACGUCCGGAAACGGGCGCUAAUACCGCAUACGUCCUGAGGGAGAAAGUGGGGGAUCUUCGGACCUCACGCUAUCAGAUGAGCCUAGGUCGGAUUAGCUAGUUGGGGGGUAAAGGCCUACCAAGGCGACGAUCCGUAACUGGUCUGAGAGGAUGAUCAGUCACACUGGAACUGAGACACGGUCCAGACUCCUACGGGAGGCAGCAGUGGGGAAUAUUGGACAAUGGGCGAAAGCCUGAUCCAGCCAUGCCGCGUGUGUGAAGAAGGUCUUCGGAUUGUAAAGCACUUUAGGUUGGGAGGAAGGGCAGUAAGUUAAUACCUUGCUGUUUUGACGGUACCAACAGAAUAAGCACCGGCUAACUUCGUG